rnacentral:rRNA from 1 species
CAGCGCGGGACAAUCCUGGCGGCGAGCGGCGAACGGGUGAGUAAUGCUUCGGAAUCUGCCCAGUAGUGGGGAAUAACCAGUCGAAAGACUGGCUAAUACCGCAUACGNNNNNNNGGUNAAAGCAGGGGACCGCAAGGCCUUGCGCUAUUGGAUGAGCCGAAGUCGGAUUAGCUAGUUGGUGAGGUAACGGCUCACCAAGGCGACGAUCCGUAGCUGGUCUGAGAGGACGACCAGCCACACUGGGACUGAGACACGGCCCAGACUCCUACGGGAGGCAGCAGUGGGGAAUAUUGGACAAUGGGGGCAACCCUGAUCCAGCGACGCCGCGUGUGUGAAGAAGGCCUGCGGGUUGUAAAGCACUUUUAGUGGGGAGGAAAACACUCGACCUAACACGUCGGGAAUUGACUUAACCCAAAGAAAAAGCACCGGCUAACUCUGUGCCAGCAGCCGCGGUAAUACAGAGGGUGCAAGCGUUAAUCGGAAUUACUGGGCGUAAAGCGUGCGUAGACGGUUGUUUAAGUCGGAUGUGAAAUCCCCGGGCUCAACCUGGGAAUUGCAUUCGAAACUGAACUGCUAGGGUACGGAAGAGGGAAGCGGAAUUUCCGGUGUAGCGGUGAAAUGCGUAGAUAUCGGAAGGAACAUCAGUGGCGAAAGCGGCUUCCUGGUCCAGUACCGACGUUCAGGCACGAAAGCGUGGGGAGCAAACAGGAUUAGAUACCCUGGUAGUCCACGCCAUAAACGAUGAGGACUAGACGUUGGAAGGGUCAGCCUUUCAGUGUCGCAGCUAACGCGAUAAGUCCUCCGCCUGGGGAGUACGGCCGCAAGGUUGGAACU